AACGAACGCUGGCGGCAGGCUUAACACAUGCAAGUCGAGCGCCCCGCAAGGGGAGCGGCAGACGGGUGAGUAACGCGUGGGAAUCUACCCAUCUCUACGGAAUAACGCAUGGAAACGUGUGCUAAUACCGUAUACGUCCUUCGGGAGAAAGAUUUAUCGGAGAUGGAUGAGCCCGCGUUGGAUUAGCUAGUUGGUGGGGUAAAGGCCUACCAAGGCGACGAUCCAUAGCUGGUCUGAGAGGAUGAUCAGCCACACUGGGACUGAGACACGGGCCAGACUCCUACGGGAGGCAGCAGUGGGGAAUAUUGGACAAUGGGCGCAAGCCUGAUCCAGCCAUGCCGCGUGAGUGAUUAAGGCCCUAGGGUUGUAAAGCUCUUUCACCGGUGAAGAUAAUGACGGUAACCGGAGAAGAAGCCCCGGCUAACUUCGUGCCAGCAGCCGCGGUAACAC
rnacentral:rRNA from 1 species